rnacentral:rRNA from 1 species
CCUACGGGAGGCUGCAGUGGGGAAUAUUGGACAAUGGGGGAAACCCUGAUCCAGCAAUGCCGCGUGUGUGAAGAAGGCCUUCGGGUUGUAAAGCACUUUCAAUAGGGAGGAAAAGCUAUGCGUUAAUAGCGUAUAGCCGUGACGUUACCUAUAGAAGAAGCACCGGCUAACUCCGUGCCAGCAGCCGCGGUAAUACGGAGGGUGCAAGCGUUAAUCGGAAUUACUGGGCGUAAAGCGCGCGUAGGCGGUUUGCUAAGUCAGAUGUGAAAUCCCCGGGCUCAACCUGGGAAUGGCAUUUGAGACUGGUAGGCUAGAAUGUGGUAGAGGUGAGUGGAAUUCCAGGUGUAGCGGUGAAAUGCGUAGAGAUCUGGAGGAACAUCAGUGGCGAAGGCGACUCACUGGGCCAUUAUUGACGCUGAGGUGCGAAAGCGUGGGUAGCA